rnacentral:rRNA from 1 species
GAUCAUGGUCAGGAUGAACGCUAGCUACAGGCUUAACACAUGCAAGUCGAGGGGCAGCAUGACGAUAGCUUGCUAUUGUCGAUGGCGACCGGCGCACGGGUGAGUAACGCGUAUCCAAUCUUCCCGUUGCUAGGGGAUAACCUUGCGAAAGUAAGACUAAUACCCUAUGAAGUUCUUCGCAGGCAUCUAAAGAGAACGAAAGAUUUAUCGGCAACGGAUGGGGAUGCGU